ACAGCCUGACGAUAAGAAGUCGGCUCAAGAACAGCAGCACCAGCGGUGGGAAAUCCAAAGCGAUCAACAGGCGGACGAGGACGAGAACGCAAGCCAUAAGUAGGCUGAGAGGAAGAUGACGACACAUCCUAGGAGGCAUCCAAAGGACGUGAACGACGAGUGUAAUACUGAGGAAAAGAUGGAACAAUAGAAGGAGGAAUCGCCAAGGUAGAAUCGAGGGGUGGCGACGAAGAAGUCACCGGAGAUGAAGGUGUAGAAUCCGGUGACAUGCUAGACGAGGAGACCGUGGAAGAUGGUGGCAUCAAAUCGACUAGAGGUGGAGAAGCAGAGGGAGCGGAACGAAUAGGCACAGGCUCGACGGGGGUGAUAGGUGAGUCAGGAAAAGUGAGGAAAGAGAUAUCCUGCACUGAAAAGGUCGAGGAAGAUGGGCGUGGGUAGAAGGGACGAGACUCAUCAAAAGUCACGUCUCAAGAGAUACACAUCCGACGACCGAUAGGAUCCCAACAACGAUAGCCCUUAUGCUCAUCACUGUAGCCUAAAAAGACACACUCAACAAACUGAGCGGUCAGUUUGGUGCGUUCGCGAGGGGCAAGAAGAACAUAGCAAACACAACCAAACAAGCGAAGCAUCGAAUAAUCGGGAGAACGAUCAAAAAGACGCUCGAAAGGAACACCAUCCUGUAGAGCAGCAGAAGGCUGGAGAUUGAUAAGAUAGGUGGAGGUGGAGACGGCCUCAGCCCAAAAAUGAGGCGGGAGAGAGGCAGUAAUCAGCAAUGCACGAGCCAUCUCAAGAAGAUGACGAUGCUUUCGCUCAGCCACACCAUUCUAAGCAUGAGCACCAGGACAAGAGAAUUGAGAGAGAGUGCCUUCCUCAGCAAGAACACCACGCAACAUCUUAGAGAUAUACUCGCCAGCAGAGUCAGCACGAAGAACACGAAUGGGUGAAGAGAACUGAGUAUGAACCAUGGCAGCAAAACGCUUAUAUAUAGACAACACCUCACUAUGAGAAGUCAUGAAAUAAAGCCAUGUGUAACGAGAGAAGUCAUCUAUGAAAAUAAUAUAGUAUUUAUGACCACCUUUGGAAGCGAGAGGAGCCGGACCCCAUACAUCAGAAUGGACUAAAUCAAAAGGACGCUCAGACACUGACUCACUAUGUGAAUAUGGUAACUGAAUCUGCUUGCCAAGACAACAACCCUGACACUCUAAAGAGACAUCUCCUGAGACAGACCCCAGAAGGCCUCGACGAACUAAAGACGACAACCGAGAACCACACAGAUGACCAAGUCGAUGAUGCCACUGCUUGAAGGAACCAGUAACAGAGGCGACUGAAGCGGAGGAACUGGCGACAGUGGUGGCAGCAGAAGGAACAUGAAGCCAGUCCAACUCCCAAAGACCCUGAGAAUCACGGCGGCGAGGGCCAGCCCCAACCAGAGUGUGCGUGCGACGGUCCUGGACAGAACAAGAGUCAACGUCAAGGAUGACGCGACAACCAGAAUCAGUAAGUUGACCAGCAGAAAACAGAUUCAUGGUGAGUCGAGGAACAUGAGCAACAUCAGGAACAGAGUAAGGAGUGGUAAGAGUGCCUCUACUAACGACAGAAAGUGGAGUACCAUCAGCAGUGAGGACAUGAACAGGAGAAUCCAGCGAGCGAAGAGAGGACAAAAUGGAAGAAUGAGAAGACAUAUGAAAAGAAGCUCCAGAGUCCAGAACCCAUGGGGAUGUACCUGACUAUGUAGAGGGUGAUUGCUCAGUGCGGGAAGCAUCAGUCACAGAACCAGCAGUACCCGUCGAGGAAGAACCUGAAGCCGCGAGCAGACGCUUAAGUCUCAGAAUAUCCUGCUCAGUCAAAGUAAUGGCUGAAGCUGUCGAGGUAGAUGACGAAGUCCCUGAAGAUGAUUAUCGCGCCUUGCGCAGGUGUUUCUUCUUCGUGUAGCAUUGAGACUCAAGAUGACCAUCAUUGUUGCAGUAGUCGCAAUGUGGACGGGGGCGACCUGAGCCUCCAGAAGGAGUGGGCAAGAGCGGCGGAGCACUCGAGCGAGAAGGGGUCGGUGCAGCAGGUGGCGUAGGAGCACGAGUAGCGAGCACAGAGGGAACCUCCAGCAAACCAGCACCACAUAAGCGAGUCUCCUCAGCACGAAUCUCAGAAAGCGCCUCCAUGAGAGAAAUACGGCCACAAGCAAACAACUGAGCACGCCGGGGCUCAAACUCCUUACGGAGCCGAGACAGGAACUCAUAGACGCGAUGAAACUCCAAAUUGGCCUGGACAGCCUGGCAACAGGGGCAGGUACGACAACCAGCACUGCGGAGAGAAUCAAGCUGGCGCCAGAUAGCAGAACUCUGUGCAUAGAAGUCAUCAACAGUAGAGUCACCCUGCUGAAGAGCAUGCUCCUGACGGACCACAGAAAGGUAUAAGGCAUCACCAAAGGGCUGAUAGCGCUGACGAAGACGGGUCCACAUCUCAAAGACAGUAGGAAGACCCAGAUACUCAGAAGCAAACUGAGGCAGAACACUAGCAGUGACAACAGCAGUAGCACGAGCAUCAUUAUCAAGCCACUGGGUGUAAGCAGACAGAGCACCAUGAUAAAUCUGAAGAGCCUCCUCAUAAGCCAAAACCUUCUCAUCAUAAGCACGAUCAGCAGCCUCAUCAGCAAGCUUAGCCGCAUCCUUGGUGGCCUGAUUAGCAUCCGGAGCAAGAACCAGUGGAGUCGGCGGAGUAGGGGCCACCGGAGGAACCGGACGUGGCGGACAGCAGACCUUGCCAGAAAGAACACCCCAGAGACGGAUGCCACGCAUGUGAAUGCGCAUAAAGCUAGUGAACUCGGUGUAGUUAGUACCAUCGAAAAUUACCGGACAGCGAGGGACAGCAACAUAGCCCGAUGCAGCAGACAUAUCUUUUUUUUUUUAGCAGAGAUCCAAAAUCAGGAGAAUCCGACGAGAGCAGCAGGGACGAGACCACCAGCUUCCAAUCGGCAACAGGACGGGAUCGGGGGAGCAGCAGGCAGUCGAUCCAGACCAAGGGGCGACUGGCAGCUGGAGGCAGCGGCGGGAUCCAGCAGGGGCCUGUGCGAGUCGGGACAAGGGCGAGCUCGAACGGGAGCGUCCUUCUCGAUCGGGUGAAGGGCUGCGAGCGAUCGAUCGGGGGAGGGGCUGCGAGCGAUCCUUAUAGGAUCGAGAACGGGAGAGGAGGCCCGUUCCGAUCCAGGACGGGAUCCGAGCGGGACAAGGAGAUCGAGGCUGCGGCCUCUAUCGGGAGGAGAGACGGAUCAAUCGCACGAGUUGCAGCGUGCAAAAAAGUUAACCUAGCUCUAAUACCAUGUUAGGAAUAUGCAACUUGUAUUCCCAUGAGGCCAUAGGCCGAUAUAUAUACAUGUACAGAUGUGAAACAUAUGCAGGAAACCCCUUAUAUAACGGGAUAAAUACAAAGGGGUACAUGACUUAUAAUAUAACUCUAACACAUCUUAUCCCCUGAGAUAUAUUGCCUUUAAUCUCUUGAUUUUUUCCCUGACAUGCUAAUAUAGAGCCAGAUAUGCAUGAUUCAUCAUACACAUUACAGCCAAUUAUCCAUUGGUUCUUUUGUCCAUAGAGGUGAUUUUGUUUGGACCAUUAGUCUAGGUAGUGACAUUUUGAUCGAUAAGGCACAAGUUUAUUUUCUUUAUCACUCGGGCUACACUAAAGUAAGCAUAACCGUCAGUGAAAUGAAGGCAUACAAAUCAUGAAGUUUUUGCCUUGGCUGUGUGCCUUGUUUAGUUGUCACUUAUUUAUUUCUUGGAAGUUAUUCAAUUCUCAUUGAGCUUUCCUUAUGCUUUCCAUUGCUAAAGAAGAAAUUUAAAUACGCAAUAUUUUUAAUGUCUGAGGAGGCGAGAGGAGAUGAAAAAGGGCUGUAAGGUUGUACUUUGGUGCGUCUCUGUCCAAUGAUGGCUGGAUCCAUCUGACGCUCUUCCAAGCAGAGCAGUGCAGAUUUGCUGACUGAGCAGCGGAGAAACAUGUUUCUACAAAUGUGCCAAAACUGAUGGAUUUAACUACAGUUCAUGGUACCAGAUCUGCAGCCUGCAUCUUGUGUAGAUUUGGCUACCACAUUAUAUGAUGAUGUUUCACUUUGCUCAGUCAAAGUUCAGUAAAAAUUUGAAUUGAACAUAUUUUUGUAGACAUACAAAAAUGGUCUGCAUUUUUUACAUCGCCCUGACAUCCAAUUCAAACUAUAUUUUCUGCCUAAACUGUUGCGUACCCAUGAGAUCAUGGGAUAACUCAGACAUGAGCCGGUGUCCAGUGCGCAGUUGGGUGCAUUAUUUGGUGACAUCCAGUGCUAACUGUUUUUUCAAGGCCACCGAGUGGAGUGAGGGAUGGAGCAGCAGGCAUAGAUGAAAUCUACUGCAAAUUUCUAUUGGUUGCGGCAUCUUCCGCUGACUCACAUUGUGGUAUGGUCAUGGUACAGCAAAAGGAAAAGAUGUUUAAACUUUUUUUGGGCGUCAUACAUGAAAAGUACCUUUAUUUCCAUCGAGCUUAAUUACUAAGAAAAUGUUACCACUAUUUCCUUACUAAUAAACCUAAAUGUUCUGAAAGUUCGGUCUCUUGCUCUCUUUGCUUAUGAAUUGGACACUUUCCCUUUCUUUAGUCCUUACAUGGUUCCACCUCGCUUUGACUUCAUACUUUGAUGGUGUUUGUAGGUAUGAAGACAUGAAGAGUGGUCAUAAUGUUACUUAAAGGAGGCCUCAACUUGCACCAAAUGCAUGGGCAUGUGCAACAGCAACUUAUGUAGGUUUCUAAAAACCAAUAAAUGCUGCUCUCAAAUCAGUUAGGAGGCUGAAGGUAGUAGCUUACUGAACUCUCAUUUCUGGAAAAAUCUGGAGAUGUCUUGUUUGUACAAUCUCUAAAGAUGGUGCUCCAUUGUUCUGUUAAUCAAGAUUUGUUCCCUCCUUUCUUACUAGCUGAUACGUGAUGACCGUUUGCAUGGGGUUUAUGUUAACUAUAUUCUAUUCAUGAUUCAAACUGUUUGUUGGGUAAUUUAGUUUAGACAUUGUGUCCUGAGAAUCUUGAUAUCUAGCUGUAUUGGUAUAGUAUAGUUUGUGAUUUUUCGCUCUGAAUUUAUAUAUCCACUCAGGUUGGGAUAGGUUACGAGUAUUCUUAGUGUGGAAACAGCGACAGUGCUGCACUUUCAUCAUAUGAUGAUAUGCCAACCUUGCGCCAUUUGGCUCUAUGUUACCUGAAUAAGAUAACAAAAUACACAUGCUCAAG